UACGGGGGGGGCAAGCGUUGUUCGGAAUUACUGGGCGUAAAGGGCUCGUAGGUGGCCAACUAAGUCAGACGUGAAAUCCCUCGGCUUAACCGGGGAACUGCGUCUGAUACUGGAUGGCUUGAGUUCGGGAGAGGGAUGCGGAAUUCCAGGUGUAGCGGUGAAAUGCGUAGAUAUCUGGAGGAACACCGGUGGCGAAGGCGGCAUCCUGGACCGACACUGACACUGAGGAGCGAAAGCGUGGGUAGCAAACAGG
rnacentral:rRNA from 1 species